UUUAUCUGAUCCACUGAAAGCCUGAAUAGAAUAAAAGGCUGAGUAGGAAAGAAUUCUUUCUCUGUACCUGACUGUCUUUGAGCUGGGACAUCAGUCUUCUGCCUUCGGACUCAGAAUUGGACUGGGGCACUCUUGGCUCUCCUGGUUCUGAGACCUUUGGACUCAUACUGGAUGAUUUCAUUCACUCUCCUGGGUCUUCAGCUUGCCACCGGCAGACCAUGGACUUCUCAGCCUCUGUAAAUCAUGGCUCUUCACUUUCUCCCCUAGUGGUUACAUGGAAGCUGUAAACUGUUGGAAUUCACAUCAUCAUUGACCAGAGACUCAAACUGUAGUCAUCUGUAAAUGUUCACAUCUUUUGGACCUUUUGAGAAGAGUGUAGCAAGAUGCCUAUAACCCACAAGGAGAAAACAAGAAGACAUGUCCCAGAAGCCAUGGCUAAUUGAAAAGGGAAUCCUGAAUCCGGCAAUGCUGAGAAAAACACUCUUCUCAAAUCCAAAUUCAAGUCAAUUAAGGAAAAACCUGGUACGAGAUUAAAUGCAAGAAGUCAAGGAGUCCAACCUUGGGGACGUAGACCCUGCCUUUGUCAAGAUGAGCCCUUGGCUCCGGCGCAGGCUCAGCGG